rnacentral:rRNA from 1 species
GAUGAACGCUAGCGGCAGGCUUAAUACAUGCAAGUCGAGGGGCAGCAUGGUGUAGCAAUACACUGAUGGCGACCGGCAAACGGGUGCGGAACACGUACAGAACCUUCCUUCGAGCGGGGAAUAGCCCAGAGAAAUUUGGAUUAAUACCCCAUAGUAUAUUGAAAAGGCAUCUUUUUAAUAUUAAAGAUUUAUCACUUGAAGAUGGCUGUGCGGCUGAUUAGGUAGUUGGCGGGGUAACGGCCCACCAAGCCUGCGAUCAGUAACUGGUGUGAGGGCACGAACAGUCACACGGGCACUGAGACACGGGCCCGACUCCUACGGGAGGCAGCAGUAAGGAAUAUUGGUCAAUGGACGAAAGUCUGAACCAGCCAUGCCGCGUGGAGGAUGAAGGUCCUCUGGAUUGUAAACUUCUUUUAUAUGGGACGAAAAAAGGCUUUUCUAAGUCGUCUGACGGUACCAUAUGAAUAAGCACCGGCUAACUCCGUGCCAGCAGCCGCAGUAAUAC